rnacentral:rRNA from 1 species
CCUACGGGAGGCAGCAGUGAGGAAUAUUGGUCAAUGGACGAGAGUCUGAACCAGCCAAGUAGCGUGAAGGAUGACUGCCCUAUGGGUUGUAAACUUCUUUUAUACGGGGAUAAAAUGUUCCACGUGUGGGAUUUUGUAUGUACCAUAUGAAUAAGGAUCGGCUAAUUCCGUGCCAGCAGCCGCGGUAAUACGGAGGAUCCGAGCGUUAUCCGGAUUUAUUGGGUUUAAAGGGAGCGUAGGCGGCAUGUUAAGUCAGUUGUGAAAGUUCGCGGCUCAACCGUAACAUUGCAGUUGAAACUGGCAGUCUUGAGUACAGUAGAGGUGGGCGGAAUUCGUGGUGUAGCGGUGAAAUGCUUAGAUAUCACGAAGAACUCCGAUUGCGAAGGCAGUUCACUGGACUGCAACUGACGCUGAGGCUCGAAGGUGUGGGUAUCAAACAGGAUUAGAUACCCCAGUAGUC